GAGGGCGUUCGGCGACGUUACUGGGGCUGCACGGUGCUUGUAGCUGGGCAGUCUUAUCAUCAGAGUGGAGCCUGGUAACCACGACCUCCCCGCCAGGUCCUGUGUGUUGCUAGCUGGAGAAGGGUAGUUGAAAACUCAGACCAAGCACAGUGUUUAUAUCGGUCAAAACUGGAAAACUAUGUCCGGGCGCAGCCGAGGCUGGAGGAUCCCUUCAGGCCAAGAGCAACCUAGCAAUAUGGCGCGACCGGAUCUCUGUAGUCCUACCUCAACCCCCAGCUACUUGAACCCCAAGGUUGAAGGCUCCAGUGAGCUAUGAUCCCACCACAGCAUUGCAGCCUGCCAGACUGAGCUGGAGUUUUGCUCUUGUCGCCCAUGCUGGAGUGUGAUCCUGGCUCACUGCAAUCUCUGCCUCCCAAGUUCAAGCGAUUCUCCUAGCUCAGCCUCCUGAGCAGCUGGGAUGACAGGCACUUGCCACAACGCCUGGCUAAUUUUUCUAUGUUUAGUAGAGAUGGGGUUUCACCAUGUUGGCCAGGCUGGUCUUGAACUCCUGACUUCGUGAUCUGUCUGCCUCAGCCUUCCAAAGUGUUGGGAUUACAGCCAUGAGCCACCAUGGCCAGCCUUUCUUUUCUUUUCAAAGCCACCCUUGGUGAUGAAAUGUAAAAUAUGCACCAGUGAAUAUUACUUUGCUGAAUAUUGCCUAGUGAAUAUUAAGUAUUUAUUCUCACCUUUCAGACAUGAACUUAUGAAUUCAACACAUGAAGACUUACAACUUGAUAAACCAGCUUCAGGAGCUGAAGCCUUGGGGAGCACUGAAGCCAAGGCUGCACCGUACCAAAAAUUUGAAACAUGUGAAUGAGCUGAAUGUGGAAGGACUACCGGAAAACACUCCUUUCAGAAUCCCCUCAUUGCAUGAAAUCCCAAGGCUCGAAAACAUCUUUCAAGUGAGCAAUUGAAUUAAGUUUGUUAUUAAGAGUAACUCCAGUUAGCCUCCAUUGUCUCCAAGCCGGCUUUUGUCCUCAUCCACAACGCCUCCACACAAGCUCUGAACACCUGUCCAUGUAAGUGACAUCCUGUAUGCCUUUAUUUUUAUUUUAUUUUAUUUUAUUUUUGAGACAGAGUCUUGCUCUGUUGCCCAGGCUGGAGUGCAGUGGCAUGAUCUCGGCUUUCUGCAACUUCUGCCUCCCAGGUUCAAGGGAUUCUCAUGCCUCAGCCUCACAAGUAGCUAGGACUACAGGUAUGCACCACCACGCACACCUAAUUUUUGUAGUUUUUGGUAGAGAUGGGGUUUCACCAUGUUGGCCAGGCUGGUCUUGAACUCCUGACCGCAGGUAACCCACCCACCUCAGCCUCCCAAAGUGCUGGGAUUACAGGUGUGAGCUACGGUGCCUGGCACAUGAUUUGCUAUUUAUAAGAACAUGAGCUUACUACUUGUGUAAAAUUUAUCCCUGUAUUUUAGUUGGAAGUUAAUGAGGUGGUUUGAGGUUUGGUGACUACAUCUGGCCUCUCAGGGAAAUGGCCAAGUUGUUCAGAUGUUCAACUGUAUUAUAUGAAGUUGUUUGUCAGCUUCAUUGCUUACUACUGUGAAAUAAGUUAUAAAGGGAAAUUUUUUUAUAAAAAGAAAUAGAUUCAGGCUGAGCGUGGUAGCUCAUGCCUAUAAUCCUAGCACUUUGGGAGGCCAAAGUAGGUGGAUUACCUGAGCUCAGGAGUUUGAGACAACCCUCAGCAACAUGGUGAAGCCCCAUCUCUACUAAAAUACAAAAAAAAAAAAAAAAUCUGGGAAUGGUGAAUGGUGGUGGGUGCCUAUAGUCCCAGCUACUGAGGAGGCUAAGGCACGAGAAUUGCUUGAUCCUGGGAGGUGGAGGUUGCAGUGAGCUAACAUUGUGCCACUGCCAGCCUGGGUAACAGAGCAAGACUGUCUCAAAAAAAAAAAAAAAAAAAAGAGAAAUAGAUUUACUCAGGGGAGAGGAUCCAUUAUUAGUAAAACAUAUCUAGUACCACAUGCUUUUUGGUCUCCUAAUGACCUAUCAAACUACAGCGUUUUUGGCUUUUUAAUAUAUUCAGUUCCACAUUUAUUCAUUCAAGAAUUGAAGACAUUUUACAUCCGCAUUAUAUGCCAAGUACUGGGUGGGGACAAUAGGUGACAGAGAUGAACAAAUCCCUGAUCCCAGGAUUUCACAGUGGAUUUUGGAAUUUAGUGCCAUUUAGCUUCAUUCGAUUCUGCAGUAGUCCCAAGAUUUUCCAAGAUCAUCCUGUCCUCCAGUGUCUGGUUGAUUCAACUUCAGAAUAUAUCCGAGUCUGUCCUUCACUCCUCACUGCUGCCACCCUGGAACCAUCUGCCAUCGUCUCUCACCUGGAUUAUCUCCAUAGUCUCCUAACUGGUUUCCUUGUUUCCAUGCUUGCCUCUUUCAGUCUACUCUCUCUCUCUCUCUUUUUUUUUGAGACAGUCUUGCUUUGUCGCCAAGGCUGGAGUGCAAUGUUGUGAUCUUGGCUCACUGCAACCUCCACCUCCUUGGUUCAAGUGAUUCUCCUGCCUCAGUCUCCCUAAGGCAGGCCUCUUAAGUGUUGGGAUUACAGGCAUGAGCCACCACUCCCUCCCAGUCUACUCUCAGUACAACAGUUAGAACAAUCCUUUUACAGUGUAAUUCAGAUCAUGUUUACCCCUCUGUUCAAAUUCUCCAGCGGCUUUGUUUUCUACAUGAUCUGGUCCCCUACUACCUGUCUCACUGUGCUUCCUGCUACUCUCCUGCUCUUACUCCUCUUUAUAAACACUGAGCUCAUGGUGUUUCCUUUAACAUGCCAGGCAUGCUUGACCUUGUCCUGUCUCUGGACCUUGCUGUUCCCUCUGCCUGGAACAUUCUUCACCUAAUGUCUUCAUGGCUAACUCUCACUGCUUUGGAUUUUGGCUGAAAAGUCAGCUUAUCAAGGGCCUCCAGGCUGCUCUGCAUAAAAUAUAUCCUCGACUCAUAUUUCCUAUUUGAUACCUGACUCCUCUUCCUCUUUCACUAAAAUGUAAGCUCUAUGAGGGAAGGGAUUUUUGUCUGUUUUGCUCUGUUGUAUACCUAAAUACCUAGAAGGUGCUCAGUAAAUAUUUUUUGGUUGAAUGACUAAAUCAGUCUGUUAUUGAAUCAGUCAAUGUCCUCUGUAGCAGGGACUUCUCAUACCAGUAGUCCAUAUCUGUAUGAUAGCUGGUGUAGGGAGGGACAUGGUCAGAAUGGCUCUGUGUGGAAUAGUUUUGCUUAGCAUAAUCCCAGCAGGCUCCUAUUGGGGUUAAGCCACAGUUUUAGCCUUACUAGUAUCACUUUUUUUUUUUUUUUUGAGGUGGAGAUUUGUUCUUGUUGCUCAGGCUGGAGUGCAAUGGUGCAAUCUUCGCUAACCAAAAAAUCUGCCUCCCAGAUUCAAGCAGUUCUCGCUGAGCCUCCAGAGUAGCUGGGAUUACAGGCAUGCAUCACCACACCUGGCUAAUUCUGUAAAAAUAGUAGAGACAGGGUUUCUUCGUGUUUGUCAGGCUGGUCUCAAACUCCCCACCUCAGGUGAUCUGCUCACCUCAGCCUCCCAAAGUACUGGGAUUACAGGCGUGAGCCACUGCACCCAGCGAGUAUCACUCUUUAAUCAUAAAGUCAGAGGAUGUUAAGAUUGGAAGGGAUCUGGGAGACUAUUUGGUUCACUUUUCUCAUGGAUGAGAGAAUAACAGAGCAUUGAAAAGUAAGGUAAUUUACUCACAAUCAUAAAGCUAUAUGGGUCAAUCUGAAAUUAGGCUUCUUACAUCAGAUUCUGUAGUCUUUCCUACAUGUGUUCUCCCCAGACUAAGACAGUUCAUGGGCCUUCAGGUUUGACAAUUUUCUCUCCAGUCUCUAAACAGGAGCUUUUAUCUGGACAUUCUAGGUUAGCAUAGAUGGACAAUGACCCUGCAAUGUGUAGCAAAUCCCAAAGGUUGACCACUGUCAAUGGGAACCACCCCAGAUGUGUCAGGAGCACCACAGGCAUGCUCACUCUUCCAUUCACUGGAGCUGUGUAGGGUGGAAAGGAAACCCAAAUCAAGACCCUCUGCUGCUUUAGUUAUUUUAUUUCAUGUCACAAUCCAAUGUGUCUCCAUUUAAAUUCAGAUUUUUUGAUAGAUGGUCAGACCAGCUAUAGGCCCUUUGGGCCAUAAGUCUUGAUCUUUUUUUUAAUUUUAUUAUUAUUAUACUUUAAGUUUUAGGGUACAUGUGCACAACGUGCAGGUUCGUUACAUAUGUAUACAUGUGCCAUAUUGGUGUGCUGCAACCAUUAACUCGUCAUGUAGCAUUAGGUAUAUCUCCUAAUGCUAUCCCUCCCCCCUCCCCUCACCCCACAACAGUCCCCGGUGUGUGAUGUUCCCCUUCCUGUGUCCAUGUGUUCUCAUUGUUCAAUUCCCACCUACGAGUGAGAACAUGCAGUGUUUGGUUUUUUGUCCUUGCGAUAGCUUACUGAGAAUGAUGAUUUCCAAUUUCAUCCAUGUCCCUACAAACAACAUGAACUCAUCAUUUUUUAUGGCUGCAUAGUAUUCCAUGGUGUGUAUGUGCCACAUUUUCUUAAUCCAGUCUAUCAUUGUUGGACAUUUGGGUUGGUUCCAAGUCUUUGCUAUUGUGAAUAGUGCCGCAAUAAACAUAAGUGUGCAUGUGUCUUUAUAGCAGCAUGAUUUAUAAUCCUUUGGGUAUAUACCCAGUAAUGGGAUGGCUGGGUCAAAUGGUAUUUCUAGUUCUAGGUCCCUGAGGAAUCUCCACACUGACUUCCACAAUGGUUGAACUAGUUUACAGUCCCACCAACAGUGUAAAAGUGUUCCUAUUUCUCCACAUCCUCUCCAGCACCUGUUGUUUCCUGACUUUUUAAUGAUCUCCAUUCUAACUGGUGUCAGGUGGUAUCUCGUGGUUUUGAUUUGCAUUUCUCUGAUGGCCAGUGACGAUGAGCAUUUUUUCAUGUGUUUUUCCGCUGCAUAAAUGUCUUCUUUUGAGAAGUGUCUGUUCAUGUCCUUCGUCCACUUUUUGAUGGGGUUGUUUGUUUUUUUCUUGUAAAUUUGUUUGAGUUCAUUGUAGAUUCUGGAUAUUAGCCCUUUGUCAGAUGAGUAGGUUGCAAAAAUAUUCUCCCAUUCUGUAGGUUUCCUGUUCACUCUGAUGGUAGUUUCUUUUGCUGUGCAGAAGCUCUUUAGUUUAAUUAGAUCGCAUUUCUCAAUUUUGGGUUUUGUUGCCAUUGCUUUUGGUGUUUUAGACAUGAAGUCCUUGCCCAUGCCUGUGUCCUGAAUGAUAUUGCCUAGGUUUUCUUCUAGGGUUUUUAUGGUUUUAGGUCUAACAUGUAAGUCUUUAAUCCAUCUUGAAUUAAUUUUUGUAUAAGGUGUAAGGAAGGGAUCCAGUUUCAGCUUUCUACAUAUGGCUAGCUAGUUUUCCCAGCACCAUUUAUUAAAUAGGGAAUUGUUUCCCCAUUUCUUGUUUUUGUCAGGUUUGUCAACGAUCAGAUAGUUGUAGAUAUGCGGCAUUAUUUCUGAGGGCUCCGUUGUGUUCCAUUGGUCUAUAUCUCUGUUUUGGUACCAGCACCAUGCCGUUUUGGUUACUGUAGCCUUGUAGUAUAGUUUGAAGUCAGGUAGUGUGGUGCCUCCAGCUUUGUUCUUUUGGCUUACGAUGGACUUGGCAAUGCAGCCUCUUUUUUGGUUCCAUAUGAACUUUAAAGUAGUUUUUUCCAAUUCUGUGAAGAAAGUCAUUGCUAGAUUGAUGGGGAUGGCACUGAAUCUAUAAAUUACCUUGGGCAGUAUGGCCAUUUUCAUGAUAUUGAUUCCUCCUAUCCAUGAGCAUGGAAUGUUCUUCCUUUUGUUUGUGUCCUCUUCUAUUUCAUUGAGCAGUGGUUUGUAGUUCUCCUUGAAGAGGUCCUUCACAUCCCUUGUAAGUUGGAUUCCUAGGUAUUUUAUUCUCUUUGAAGCAAUUGUGAAUGGGAGUUCACUCAUGAUUUGGCUCUCUGUCUGUUACUGGUGUAUAAGAAUGCUUGUGAUUUUUGCACAUUGAUUUUAUAUACUGAGACUUUGCUGAAGUUGCUUAUCAGCUUAAGGAGAUUUUGGGCUAAGACAAUGCGGUUUUCUAGAUAUACAGUCAUGUCAUCUGUGAACAGGGACAAUUUGACUUCCUCUUUUCCUAGUUGAAUACCCUUUACUUCUUUCUCCUGUCUGAUUGUCCUGGCCAGAACUUCCAACACUAUGUUGAAUAGGAGUGGUGAGAGAGGGCAUCCCUGUCUUGUGCCCGUUUUCAAAGAGAAUGCUUCCAGUUUUUGCCCGUUCAGUAUGAUAUUGGCUGUGGGUUUGUCAUAGAUAGCUCUUAUUAUUUUGAGAUAUGUCCCAUCAAUUCCUAAUUUAUUGAGAGUUUAUAGCAUGAAGAGUUGUUGAAUUCUGACAAAGGCCUUUUCUGCAUCUAUUGAGAUAAUCAUGUGGUUUUUGUCUUUGGUUCUGUUUAUAUGCUGGAUUACAUUUAUUGAUUUGCAUAUGUUGAAACAGCCUUGCAUCCCAGGGAUGACGCCCACUUGAUCAUGGUGGAUAAGCUCUUUGAUGUGCUGCUGGAUUCGGUGUGCCAGCAUUUUAUUGAGGAUUUUUGCAACGAUGUUCAUCAGGGAUAUUGGUCUAAUAUUCUCUUUUUUUGUGGCAUCUCUGCCAGGCUUUGGUAUCAGGAUGAUGCUGGCCUCAUAAAAUGAGUUAGGGAGGGUUCCCUUUUUUUUGUGUUGAUUGGAAUAGUUUCAGAAGGAAUGGUACCAGCUCCUCCUUAUACCUCUGGUAGAAUUCUGCUGUGAAUCUGUCUGGUCCUGAACUUUUUUUGGUUGAUAGGCAAUUAAUUAUUGCUUCAAUUUCAGAGUUUUUGUUAUUGGUCUAUUCAGAGAUUCAACUUCUUCCUGGUUUAGUCUUGGGAGGGUGUAUGUGUCCAGGAAUUUAUCCAUUUCUUCUAGAUUUUCUAGUUUAUUUGCAUAGAGGUGUUUAUAGUAUUCUCUGAUGGUAGUUUGUAUUUCUCUGGGAUCAGUUAUGAUAUCCCGUUUACCAUGUUUUAUUGCAUCUAUUUGAUUCUUCUUUCUUUUCUUCUUUAUUAGUCUUGCUAGUGGUCUAUCAAUUUUGUUGAUCUUUUCAAAAAACCAGCUCCUGGAUUCAUUGAUUUUUUGAAGGGUUUUUUGUGUCUCUACAUUCUUCAGUUCUGCUCUGAUCUUUGUUGUUUCUUGCCUUCUGCUAGCUUUUGAAUGUGUUUGCUCUUGCUUCUCUAUUUCUUUUCAUUGUGAUGUUAGGGUGUCCAUUUUUGAUAUUUCCUGCUUUCCUUUGUGGGCAUUUAGCACUAUAAAUUUCCCUCUACACACUGCUUUAAAUGUGUCCCAGAGAUUCUGGUAUGUUGUGUCUUUGUUCUCAGUGGUUUCAAAGAACAUAUUUAUUUCCGCCUUCAUUUCAUUAUGUACCCAGUAGUCAUUCAGGAGCAGGUUGUUCAGUUUCCAUGUAGUUGAGAGCUUUUGAGUGAGUUUCUUAAUCCUGAGUUCUAAUUUGAUUGCACUGUGGUCUGAGAGACAGUUUGUUAUAAUUUCUAUUCUUUUACAUUUGCUGAGGAGUGCUUUGCUUCCAACUAUGUGGUCAAUUUUGGAAUAAGUGCGAUGUGGUGCUGAGAAGAAUGUAUAUUCUGUUGAUUUGGGGUGGAGAGUUCUGUAGAUGUUUAUUAGGUCUGCUUGGUGCAGAGGUGAGUUCAAUUCCUGGAUAUCCUUGUUAACUUUCAGUCUCAUUGAUCUGUCUAAUGUUGACAGUGGGUUGUCAAAGUCUCCCAUUAUUAUUGUGUUGGAGUCUAAGUCUCUUUGUAGGUCUCCAAGCACUUGCAUUAUGAAUCUGGGUGCUCUUGUAUUGGGUGCAUAUACAGUUAGGAUAGUUAGCCCUUCUUAUUGAAUUGAUCCCUUUACCAUUAUGUAAUGGCCUUCUUUGUCUCUUUUGAUCUUUGUUGGUUUAAAAUCCGUUUUAUCAGAGACUAGGAUUGCAACGCCUGCUUUUGUUUGUUUUCCAAUUUCUUGGUAGAUCUUCCUCCAUGCCUUUAUUUUGAGCCUAUGUGUGUCUCUGCUCGUGAGAUGGGUCUCCUGAAUAGAGCGGACUGAUGGGUCUUGACUCUUUAUCCAAUUUGCCAGUCUGUGUCUUUUAAUUGGAGCAUUUAGCCCAUUUACAUUUAAUGUUAAUAUCAUUAUGUGUGAAUUUGAUCCCGUCAUUAUGAUGUUAACUGGUUAUUUUGCUCGUUAGUUGAUGCAGUUUCUUCCUAGCAUCGAUGCGCUUUCCAAUUUUGCAUGUUUUUGCAGUGGCUGGUACCGGUUGUUCCUUUCCAUAUUUAGUGCUUCCUUCGGGAGCUCUUGCAGGGCCGGCCUGGUGGUGACAAAAUCUCUCAGCCUUUGCUUGUCUGUAAAGUAUUUUAUUUCUCCUUCACUUAUGAAGCUUAGUUUGGCUGGACAUGAAAUUCUGGGUUGAAAAUUCUUUUCUUCAAGAAGGUUGAAUAUUGGCCCCCACUCUCUUCUGGCUUGUAGAGUUUCUGCUGAGAGAUCAGCUGUUAGUCUGAUGGGCUUCCCUUUGUAGGUAACCCGACCUUUCUCUCUGGCUGCCCUUAACAUUUUUUCCUUCAUUUCAACUUUGGUGAAUCUGACAAUUAUGUGUCUUGGAGUUGCUCUUCUCGAGGAGUAUCUUUGUGGUGUUCUCUGUAUUUCCUGAAUUUGAAUGUCGCCCUGCCUUGCUAGGUUGGGGAAGUUCUCCUGGAUAAUAUCCUGCAGAGUGUUUUCCAACUUGGUUCUAUUCUCCCCAUCACUUUCAGGUACACCAGUCAGACGUAGAUUUGGUCUUUUCACAUACUCCCAUAUUUCUGGGAGGCUUCAUGUAUUUCUUUUUACUCUUUUUUCUCUAAACUUCUCUUAUCACCUCAUUUCAUACAUUUGAUCUUCUGUCACUGAUAUCCUUUCUUCCAGUUGAUCUAAUCAGCUGCUGAAGCUUGUGCAUUCAUCAUGUAGUUCUCGUUCCAUGGUUUUCAGCUCCAUCAGGUCCAUCGGUGUAGAGAAUUUAAGGACUUGUCUACACUUGUUAUUCUAGUUACCCAUUCGUCUAAUCUUUUUUAAGGUUUUUAGCUUCUUUGUGAUGGGUUUGAACUUCCUCCUUUAGCUCGGAGAAGUUUGAUCAUCUGAUGCUGUCUUCUCUCAACUCGUCAUUCUCUGUCCAGCUUUUUUCCAUUGCUGGUGAGGAGCUGCGUUCCUUUGUAGGGGGAGAGGCACUCCAAUUUUUAGAAUUUUCAGCCUUUCUGCUGUGUUUUUUCCCCAUCUUUGUGGUUUUAUCUACCUUUGAUCUUUGAGGAUGGUGACGUACACAUGGGUUUUGGUGUGAAUGUCUUUUCUGUUUGUUAGUUUUCCUUCCAACAGUCAGUACACUCACCUGCAGGUCUGUUGGAGUUUGCUGAACGUCCCCUCCAGACCCUGUUUGCCUGUGUAUCGGCAGUGGAGGCUGCAGAACAGCGAAUAUUGCUGAACAGCAAAUGUCACUGCCUGAUUGUUCCUCUGGAAGUUUCGUCUCAGGGGUACCUGAUCAUAUGAAGUGUCAGUCAGCCCCUACUGCAGGGUGCCUCCCAAUUAGGCUACUCAGGAUUCAGGGACCCACUUGAGGAGGGAGUCUGUCCAUUCUCAGAUCUCAAACUCCAUGCUGGGAGAACCAUUUCUCUCUUCAAAGCUGUCAGACAGGGACAUUUAAGUCUGCAGAGGUUUCUGCUGCCUUUUGUUCAGCUAUGCCUUGCCCCCAGAGGUGGAGUCUAGAGAGGCAGGCAGGCCUUGAGCUGCGGUGGACUGCACCCAGAUUGAGCUUCCCGGUCACUUUGUUUACCUACUUAAGCCUCAGCAAUGGCGGGUGCCCCUCUCCCAGCCUCACUGCUGCCUUGCAGUUCGAUCUCAGACUGCUGUGCUAGCUAUGAGUGAGGCUCCGUGGGCUUGGGACCCUCCGAGACAGGCACGGGAUAUAAUCUCCUGGUGUGCUGUUUGCUAAGACGAUUGGAAAAGCGCAGUAUUAGGGUUGGAGUGACCUGAUUUUCCAGGUGCUGUCACAUCUUUGCUUGGCUAGGAAAGGGAAUUCCCUGACCCCUUUCACUUCCUGGGUGAGGCAAUGCCCCACCCUGCUUCGGCUCACGCUUGAUGCGCUGCACCCGCUGUCCUGCACCCACUGUCUGACAAGCCCCAGUGAGAUGAACCCUGUACCUCAGUUGGAAAUGGAGAAAUCACCCAUCUUCUGUGUCACUCAUGCUGGGAGCUGUAGACUGGAGCUGUUCCUGUUCAGCCAUCUUGGAACCGCUGCCCACAUUAUUUUUGUUUUGUUUUGUUUUCUUUUGAGUUGGAGUCUCACUCUGUCACCCAGGCUGGAGUGCAGUGUCAUGAUCUUGGCUCACUGCAAGCUCCGCCUCCUGGGUUCAUACCAUUCUCCUCCCUCAGCCUCGCAAGCAGCUGGGACUAUAGGCACCUGCCAACACGCCUGGCUAAUUUUUUGUAUUUUUAGUAGAGAUGGCAUUACACUGUGUUAGCCAGGAUGGUCUCGAUCUCCUGACCUUGUGAUCCACCCGCCUCGGCCUCCCAAAGUGCUGGGAUUACAGGCGUGAGCCACCACACCUGGCCAAUGAAACAUUAUUAUUGGAAUAAUAUAGUUCAUAGGUUUUAAUGAUAAACUUGGGGGAUGUGUUAGUUGCCUUCAGAUUCAGGUGAGUAGAACACAUACAUGGAAACAAAAAUUGAAGUUUGAAAUGAGGCAGAAAUGUAUAUCUUCUUUACAUCAAAGAAUUCUGGAUGUUGGUAGUCCAAUAUGGAGGUAAUAAUUCCCUACUCACCAAGGACCCAAACUCUCCGUAUCUUUACACUCUACAAUACUAUUAUAUGUCUUCAAUUCUUAACAUUGCUUCAUGUUCCAAAAUGGCUGCCGAAUCUACAGCCUUUAUGUCUGCUUUGCAGGCAGGAAGAAGGGGAAAAACAAAAGGAAACACCUCUUAGCUGAGUCAGCAUUACUUGUAGAACCUUUCUAGAAGAAACACCCUAAUAGCUAGAUACAUGGAGCAUGGAAAAUACAGUCUUUUACCUAGACAACCUAACCAAAAUAUUGGUGGGAAUUACAUCCUAACCAAAAUGUUGGUUCAGGAAUAUGGCUAUUAAUUAAGCAGCUUCAGUGUCUGUCAAAGGAGUAAAGUAGUAUUUUUGUGAAGCCAGAGAGGAUACACUUUGAAGUCGGCCUCUUUCAAUCAUUGUCUUUUCCUUACAUAAAUACUUUCUUAAUGCAAACACUUAUUUGGUUCUUUUUAUUUUAUGAUAAAAUCAUCCCGUGAACAAGUAAUAUGUCAUGCAAGAUGACAUAUUGCUGGCUUCUGAUAAAAUGGUAGUGCUACCCUCAACAUGGGUAGUGAGAUUGAAUGGACACUGGGAAGGCUCAUCAGACCAAAACCACUCAUAAUGUAUUGCCUAAAGUGUCCAUCAUAAAAGUUAUUGCUUCUGCAUGAAGAUGAUGUGCUUUUAAAACAAUCUCACUUAAAGUGAGUAUGUGUUAACCAUUAUGCCAUUCAAUUCCAUUAAUCCAUUUCUCUGUAUUUAUCAAAUAUCAUCAUGGAAAAUAUAGAGCGAGGCUCUGAGGGAAUAGAAACGGGUUAGGUACAUUUCCAAGAGGUAGAUGAGAGAGAAGUUGAAAGCAGGGUGUGAAAAUGAGGGUGAAUUUGGGAGAAUCCACCUACCGAGACAGAGUAUGUAAUAAUAAUUUCAUUUCUGAAUAAAUGAAUGAAAUAAAAAUACAUGCACAGAAUAACUUCUCAAUAAACUUUUCUGGUCGACUACCAGAUAAAUGCAUGAAGAGACAGAUGAAUGUAUGAAUAAAUCCUCAAAGGUGAAUUUUAUCAAUGAGGAUUCUUUGAUUUCUUCAUGCCACUAUCCCUGCUGGUAUGUGUGCUUCGUAUAGCCAUCAUUGAGAGUUGUUGAUUAUGUUAAAUAUUAGAGUAACAAAUACAAAAAGAACACUCAGAACCAUAGAUCACAUCCCAAACUAAGGGAUGGAAGCACUAAUGAGGCUGGCCAGAGAAGUAAGCAUUGGGUUAUUACUAUCAGCUUUAACAUGUACUUCUUUCAUCCAGCACUGAAACAGAGAGACACUCAAAAUACAAACACUGAGCAUAAGACUAACAGACAAAGACUUUCCUCUCUUGACUAUGAUCAAAUGGGUGUAUUCAACUUAACUAUGCACUAUAUCAUAACUUUGAGUAGGACUUCCUUUUCUGGUGUGGAGGCUGUGUGCAAUAAUAGUUAAAUACGUAAGUUAUGGUUUCAGGAAAAUUUGAAUUCAAAUGCUGCAUCUCCACUUACUGGUUGCACAGCCUUGAGCAAAUUACUUAACUGUUUCACAUCAAAGCUCCCCCAUCUUUAAAAUGGGAGGAAUGCUAUUGCCUACCUUGUAAGUAAUUGUGAGGAUUAGUUGAGGACUCAAUGAUAUCAGCCACAGUUACUAGUCAUUAUGUGUGGGGAUCAUGAGCGACUGUAUAAGCCAGAGUUCUUCUGAGAAACAGAACCAUUAGGAGACAUAUAUGAGAGAGAGAUUUAUUUCAAGGAAUUAGCUUAUGCAACCGUGGGAGCUAACCAGUCUACAUCUGUAGGGCAAGCUGGCAGGCUGGAAAUUCGGUUGUGUUGGUGUUGCAGUCUUGAGUUGGUAGGCUGGGAACUCGGGCAGGGUUUGUAUGUUGCAGUCGUGAGUCAGAAUUGCUGCUUUCUUGGGAAAUCUCAGUCUUGGCUCUGAAAGCCUUCAACUGAUUGAAUGAGGCCUACCCACAUUAUGGACACAAAUAUGCUCUACUUAAAGUCAACUGAUUUAAAUGUUAAUCACAUCUAAAAAUAUUUUCAUAGUAACAUAUACACUGGCAUUUGAUGAAACAACUAGGUGCCAUAGCCUCACCAAGUUGACACAUAAAAUUAACUAUCACAGGGGCACAAUAAAUGUGCCCAUCCACACCGACAUUCUUCGCACAGAAACAAGACACAAAAGUUGCAGAUUGGAAAGUGCAACUCUAACCUGUAUGACAGAUAAAGACUAGAAUGGAAGCUGUGGUUUGUAUUUGCAGGAUUCAACGGUUUCAGGUACUCCCACCCUCAACCCUCUGGCAGGUAGAUUAACACAACCAACUCAGGCAGUUGUGCCACAUAAGACUUACAGCAUGGAGAAGCUGGCAAGAACUCACAUUUCUACUGAUGAGUUAACAUCUGAGAGGACAAAAAGGAAGAGCUAGUUUUUUUUUUUUCUGAAAUUUUCCAACCAGAUAAUUCCCUCCUCCUUGCUAAGGUAGAGAAAGUGAUGCCACAGGUGAAGCCCCAGUGUUUCUGUCAAUUGCACCCUUUCACAGAAAGGAGCUAUCGUGAGUCAAGAAGAAACAUUUCCCUCAGUAUCCUCCUCUCCUCACUACCACCAUUGUUUUUAUCACCAGCAGGCUGUACUGUUUAUAUUUCUUGAUGGGACCCUCAAAGACUUAGCCUCUGAAAUUGAAACUCUGGAGGGUUCUGAGUCUCCCGAAACCUAAGGAAAUUUUCCAAGACAUAUCGAGAUAAGUAAAAUCCUAUAUUCAACCAAUGGCAUAUUUCCCCUAUCCUAGAAAUCACCCUCCUUCCCCUUCCCCCCGAAACUUCAGUUGGGAACCAGCUGGAGUUUAUAGCACCAGGCUUAGUGUGGAUCUCUUGACACCUCUGAAACAAGUUCCCCAUCACAUGGGAAAACUGCUCUGCCCUUCCACACCAGGCCUUGGAGCCUCUGCCAGCUUGAUGCUGAAGAAGCCUGACAUCCCCCAGGUAGGGGACAGCUGAGAUCUCUUGGGGUGUCUUGGGACCUGCUUGACUGUCCUUUUGAAGAGCGCACCUUUCCCUCAUCUGUAAAGAAGUCUGAGGGCAGAAACCAGAUGUGCUGACCUCACCUCUCACCUCUCUCCCCCUGGGCUGGAAUCCAGUGUUGCUCACUUCCUAUUCACUAGAAGCAGCUUGCCUGGGCAGGACUGGUGUUAUACUUUGUUUCAGUCAGCACAGGAAAGUGCAGAGUUGCCUGCAAAAGGCAGAUGAAAACUUAAAGUGAUCUUUGGCCAGCAGAUUCAUUUAAAAUGCAAAUCCACUCAGCAGUGUAGGAACAGUAUGGCACAGCCCCCAUGUGGUAGAUUAGAAUGCAGGCUUUCACCACAGCUCUUUGUUCCAAAGCCAGCAGAAACUGGCUAGGCUUGGCAUUUAUCCUUUUGCACUAAAGCGCGUUGGGGAAAUCCCUGAACGAGUCCCUAAAAUUCCCGGUGAUUGGGGAAGCUUGAAGUAGUCUAUUUGCACCCAGCCCUACCUGAUUUGAAGAGCUGUAUGGAACCAGGAACCAGGAAGAGAAUGUGAGCUUUUGAGCCAGUACCCCAACUUACCAGCCCUGAAAUCUUCAGCUAAUUAUUUUAUCUCUCUGAGAAACAUAUUAACCUCUCUAGGCCACAUCUUGAGGGGACUCUAAAGCUGACAUUUGGGAGUUAACGUUUCCCCUGCUAGGAGAAAAUACACAUAUAUUAGUCCAUUUUCACGUUGCUGAUAAAGAUAUACCUGAGACUGAGAAGAAAAAGAGGUUUAAUUGGACUUACAGUUCCACAUGGCUGGGAAGGCCUCAGAAUCAUGGCAGGAAGUGAAAGGCACUUCUUCCAUGGUGGCACCAAGAGAGAAUGAGGAAGAAGCAAAAGUGGAAACUCCUGAUAAACCUAUCAGAUCUCAUGAGACUUAUUCACUAUCAUGAGAUUAGCACGGGAAAGACCGGCCCUCAUAAUUAAGUUAUCUCCCCCUAGGUCCCUCCCACAACAUUUGAGAAUUCUGGGAGAUACAAUUCAAGUUGAGAUUUGAAUGGGGACACAGUCAAACUGUAUCACUCCACCCCUGGCCCCUCCAAAUCUCAUGUCCUCACAUUUAAAGAGGAAUCAUGCCUUCCCAACAGUCCCCCAAAGUCUUAACUCAUUUCAGCAUUAACCCAAAAGUCCACAGUCCAAAGUCUCAUCUAAGUCAAUGCAAGUCUCUUCCUCCUAUGAGCCUGUACAAUCAAAAGCAAGCUAGUUACUUCCUAGAUGCAAUGGGGGUACAAGUAUUGGGUAAAUACAGCCAUUCCAAAUGAGAGAAAAUUGCCAAAACAAAGAGGUUACAGGGCCCCUGCAAGUCCAAAAUCAAGUGAGGUGGUCAAAUUUUAAAGCUCCAAAAUCAUCAUCUUUGACUCCGGAUCUCACAUCCAGGUCAUGCUGAUGCAAGAGGUGGGUUCCCAUGUUCUUCAUCAGCUCUGCCCUUGUGGCUUUGCAGGAUACAGCUUCCCUACUGGCUGCUUUCACAGUCUGGCCUUGAGCAUCUGCGGCUUUUCCAGGCGCACAUUGCAAGCUGUUAGUGGAUCUACCAUUCUGGUGUCUGGAGGACAGUGGCCCUCUUCUCACAGCUCCACUAGGCAGUGCCCCAGUAGGGACUCUGUGUGGGGGAUCCAACCCCACAUUUCCCUUCCACAUUGCCCUAGCAGAGGUUCUCCAUGAGGGCCCCACCCCUACAGAAAACUUUUGCCUGGGCAUACAGGCAUUUCCAUACAUCUUCUGAAAUCUAUGCGGAGGUUCCCAAAUCUCAAUUCUUGACUUCUGUGCACCCACAGGCCCAACACCAUAUGGAAGCUGCCAAGGCUUGGGGAUUCCCCCCUCUGAAGCCACAACCCGAGAUGUACACUGGCCCCUUUCAGCCAUGGCUGGAGCAGCUGAGACACAGGGUACCAACUCCCUAGGCUGCACACAGCACGGGGACCCUCGGCCCGACCCAUGAAGCCAGUUUUUCCUCAUGGGCCUCUGGACCUGUGAUGGGAGCAGCUGCCAUGAAGGUCUCUGACAUGGCCUGGAUACAUUUUCCCCAUGGUCUUGGGGAUUAACAUUAGGCUCAAUGCUACUUAUGCACAUUUCUAUAAUUGGCUUGAACUUCUCCCCCCAAAAAUGGAUUUUUCUUUUCUGUCACAUAGGCUGCAAAUUUUUCAAACUUUUAUGCUCUGCUUCCCUUACAAAACUGAAUGCCUUUAAAAGAACCCAAGACACCUCUUGAAUGCUUUGCUGUUUAGGAAUUUCUUCUGUCAGAUACCCUAAAUCAUCUUUCUCAAGUUCAAAGUUCCACAGAUCCUUAGGGCAGGGGCAAAAUGCCUUCAGUCCCUUUGCUGAAACAUAACAAGUGUCACCUUUACUCCAGUUUCCAACAAGUUUCCUCAUCUCCAUCUGAGGUCUCCUCAGCUUGGACCUUAUUGUCCAUAUCGCUAUCAGCAUUUUGGGCAAAGCCAUUCAACAAGUCUCUAGGAAGUUCCAAACUUCCCCACAUUUUCCUGUCUUCUCCCGAGCUCUCCAAACUGUUCCAGCCUCUGCCUGUUACCCAGUUCUAAAGUCAUUUCCACAUUUUUGGGUAUCUUUUCAGCAACACCACACUCUACUGGUACCAAUUUACUGUAUUAGUUCAUUUUCACGCUGCUAAGAAAAACAUACCCAAGACUGGGAAGAAAAAGAGGUUUAAUUGGACUUACAGUUCCACAUGGCUGGGGAGGCCUCAGAAUCAUGGUGAGAGGUGAAAGACACUUCUUAUAGGGUGGCAGCAAGAGAGAAUGAGGAAGAAGCAAAAGCAGAAACUCCUGAUAAACCCAUCAGAUCUCAUGAGACUUAUUCACUAUCACGAGAAUAGCAUGGGAAAGACCAGCCCCCAUGAUUCAAUUACCUCCUUCUAGGUCUCUCCCACAACACAUGAAAAUUCUGGGAGAUACAUUUCAAGUUGAAAUUUUUAUGGGAACACAGUGAAACCAUGUCAACAUGGUAUAGUGGAAAGAACUAGUUAGGUCUGAUAUAAAUUGAAGAUUCACCAUGUGUCCACUUGACCUUAGACAAUUUCUUAACCUCUCUGGGCCUCACUUUCCCCAUCUAUAAAAGGCGAACAAGUGGCCAGGUGUGGUGGCUCAUGCCUGUAAUCCCAGCACUUUGGGAGGCCAAGGCGGGUGGAUCACUUGAGGUCAGGAGUUCGAGACCAGCCUGGCCAACAUGGGGAAACCCUGUCUCUAGUGAAAAUACAAAAAAUUAGCCAGGCAUGGGUGGCACGCAC
rnacentral:lncRNA from 1 species